UGAUGACGAGACGCUAAGGCGUUGAAGCAGUGUAUGUCAGACUUCCAAGAAAAGCUCGCAAUGUCAUAAUUAAAAAAUGCCUGUACCAUAACCGACACAGGUGGGUAGGUAGAGUAUACUAAGGGGCGCGAGAUAACUCUCUCUAAGGAACUCGGCAAAAUGACUCCGUAACUUCGGGAGAAGGAGUGCCUUAUUUAUAAGGUUGCAAUAACAAGAUCCAAGCAACUGUUUAUCAAAAACACAGGUCUCCGCUAAGUCGUAAGACGAUGUAUGGGGGCUGACGCCUGCCCAGUGCCAGAAGGUUAAAGAAGUUGGUUAGUGUAUGCGAAGCUGAUGACUGAAGCCCUGGUGAACGGCGGCCGUAACUAUAACGGUCCUAAGGUAGCGAAAUUCCUUGUCGGGUAAGUUCCGACCCGCACGAAAGGCGUAAUGAUUUGGAUACUGUCUCGGAGAGAGGCUCGGUGAAAUAGACUUGUCUGUGAAGAUGCGGACUACCUGCACCAGGACAGAAAGACCCUAUGAAGCUUUACUGUAACUUGAAAUUGGAAUUGGACUUUGCUUGCGCAGUAUAGGUGGGAAGCGUUGAAGAUAUUCUUGCGGGAGUAUUGGAGCUAUCAGUGAGAUACCACUCUUGUAAUGUUAGAUUUCUAACUUUGAACCAUAAUCUGGUCAAAGAACAGUUUCAGGUGGGCAGUUUGACUGGGGCGGUCGCCUCCCAAAUGGUAACGGAGGCGUACAAAGGUUUCCUCUAACGGAUAGAAAUCGUAUCUAGAGUGUAAAGGCAUAAGGAAGCUUGACUGUGAGACCUACAAGUCGAGCAGGGACGAAAGUCGGUCUUAGUGAUCUGACGGUACUGAGUGGAAAGGCCGUCACUCAACGGAUAAAAGUUACUCUAGGAUAACAGGCUGAUCUCCCCCAAGAGUUCACAUCGACGGGGAGGUUUGGCACCUCGAUGUCGGCUCAUCGCAUCCUGGGGCGGUAGUACGUCCCAAGGGUUGGGCUGUUCGCCCAUGAAAGCGGUACGCGAGCUGGGUUCAGAACGUCGUGAGACAGUUCGGUCCAUAUCCGGUGUAGGCGCUAGAAUAUUGAGAGGAGCCUUCUUUAGUACGAGAGGACCGAGAAGGACACACCGCUGGUGUACCAGUUAUCGUGCCAACGGUAAACGCUGGGUAGCUAUGUGUGGAGUGGAUAACCGCUGAAAGCAUCUAAGUGGGAAGCCCACCUCAAGAUGAGUAUUCGC
rnacentral:rRNA from 1 species